rnacentral:rRNA from 1 species
UACGUAGGGCGCAAGCGUUGUCCGGAAUUAUUGGGCGUAAAGAGCUCGUAGGCGGCUUGUCACGUCGAUUUGUGAAAGCCCGAGGCUUAACCUCGGGUCUGCAGUCGAUACGGGGCUAGCUAGAGUGUGGUAGGGGGAGAUCGGAAUUCCUGGUGUGCGGUGAAAUGCGCAGAUAUCAGGAGGAACACCGGUGGCGAAGGCGGAUCUCUGGGCCAUUACUGACGCUGAGGAGCGAAAGCGUGGGGAGCGAACAGG